AUUGAACGCUGGCGGCAGGCCUAACACAUGCAAGUCGAACGGUAACAGGAAGAAGCUUGCUUCUUUGCUGACGAGUGGCGGACGGGUGAGUAAUGUCUGGGAAACUUCCUGAUGGAGGGGGAUAACUACUGGAAACGGUAGCUAAUACCGCAUAACGUCGCAAGACCAAAGAGGGGGACCUUCGGGCCUCUUGCCAUCGGAUGUGCCCAGAUGGGAUUAGCUAGUAGGUGGGGUAACGGCUCACCUAGGCGACGAUCCCUAGCUGGUCUGAGAGGAUGACCAGCCACACUGGAACUGAGACACGGUCCAGACUCCUACGGGAGGCAGCAGUGGGGAAUAUUGCACAAUGGGCGCAAGCCUGAUGCAGCCAUGCCGCGUGUAUGAAGAAGGCCUUCGGGUUGUAAAGUACUUUCAGCGGGGAGGAAGGGAGUAAAGUUAAUACCUUCGCUCAUUGACGUUACCCGAAGAAGAAGCACCGGCUAACUACGUG
rnacentral:rRNA from 1 species